rnacentral:lncRNA from 1 species
UGGCAUCUUUCUGAACUCCCUCGACUGUCCGAGCUUUUCUAAUGGCAUCCGAGCUUCUCCAAUCAUGAGCUUCUUCAUUCAUCUACCGGAUUGCUCCAAACGCCCUUCGAACUCCGUUAUCAGUCGAUUUUCUGCAGUGAUCGACUAUUCUCCAAAUCUCUUCCAAACUUCUUCCAGCCACGAUCGACUCUACUCCGAACUUCCUUCAGACUUCGUCAAUGGCCGAGCUUCCCCAACAGCAGGACUUCUACAGUAACCAGACUCCAUCCAAGUUUCUAUGGUGGUCGACUGCCUUCUGGAUUUCACCCGAGCUCCUACGAGAGCCGGACCUCUACCCUAAAUUUUUAUUGCAGGUGGACUUCAUCUAAACUCCUACCAGAGCCGGGCUCCAUCCGAACUUCUAUAGUGGGU